UACGGAGGGUGCAAGCGUUGUCCGGAAUCACUGGGCGUAAAGGGCGCGUAGGCGGCUCAUGAAGGCUGUGGUGAAAGUCCGGGGCUCAACCUCGGAUCGGCCGUGGCGACUCGUGGGCUGGAGCACUGUAGAGGCGGGUGGAAUUCCGGGUGUAGCGGUGGAAUGCGUAGAGAUCCGGAAGAACACCAGUGGCGAAGGCGAGUCUCUGGACAUUUCCUGGACGCUGAGGCAUGAAAGCCAGGGGAGCAAACGGG
rnacentral:rRNA from 1 species